rnacentral:rRNA from 1 species
CCCUUAGAUGUUCUGGGCAGCACGCGCGCUACAAUGGUCUUCGCAAACGGAUGCAUUCUCGAAGGAGAAUGCCAAUCUUGGAAUCUAUGCCUUGGUCGGGACAGUUGCUUGCAAUUUUUCGACUCGAACCAGGAAUUCCUUGUAAUCGUGAUUCAUCACAUCACGAUGAAUACGUCCCUGCCCUUUGUACACACCGCCCGUCGCUCCUACCGAUCGAAGAGUUAGGUGAAUUGUUUUGAUCGAUAAGAUUUGACUAUGGUCAACUCUCGUUGUGAAAUUCUGUGAAUCUGACUGUUUAGAGGAAGGAAAAGGCGUAGCA